CCGAACUCCAGCUCAGACCGAAAUCCCCAAAUCGACCUAGCCUCCUCCCGCACACUCCGCUGCCGCCGCCCACCCUCCGCGGCUGCCGACCGCCCUCCGCCACACCCCAGUGCCAGCUUCCUUCCCGACCACGCCGCCAACUACCGUCCGCCACACCCACUGCCACUCCCUCCCGGACCAUUCCGCCGAGCGCCCUCCGCCGCCCCGACCACCAUUGGCCGGACCUCCAGCAACGCCCAAGUAGCCAAGCCUCCUCCACGCGCUCUCCGCCAGGCUCGAGUUGCUCAAGCGUUUCAGCGGAAGGAUCUGUUCGGGUGAUGAUGACCACAAGGAUGGCUUCUAACUUCCACCAGAUUUCGCAUGACCACGAGCGCCGGGCGGAAGAAGAUGCCGACCCCGUGCGCCGUGCAGGUGGCUGGCGGGGGGCGUGGAGGUCGGCGCCACCAAAACAAGUUGGUCCUCUCGAUCUAGCAGAGCAUAGCAGAUCCCUGACGAGCUGGUCCUCUUCGCCUUGGUCUGUUCUUCAUCCUAGACCGAGCGGAGUAUGCUUCAUCCUGCAGGCCCCCCAUGGCAUUGGCAAGAAGAAGAAUGAAUACUGAGAUCAAGUCAGAAUAACAAGGAUCACAGCACCUGGAACUGCGUGAUGUACUCCACCAUCGGACGGCGAACAUCUCCGCCAUCGGACGAGGGAAGCGGGGGAAGAACGGGAUCCCCAGCGCGGCGCCGGCGCGCACCUGGUCCAUCAGUAGUAUACUCGUUCAGUCAUCUUUGCUCAAGUAGGUUCACUUUCUUAAUGUGAUGCUGCUGCUGGAGUAGUACUGAAAUUCACAUAAUGUGAUGUUGCUGCUGUAGUACUCACAUUGUGGGAGUAUAUUCAGUGAUUUAGUGAUUCAGUUUGGAGGACUUGCUGCUGUUUUGUUCCAAGCAGGAGUGCUUAAAAUGGAGUAAAAUGUUCAGGACAUGCUGUUGUUUUAGUGUAGCAAAUUCAGUAGGAGUAAUCUCUUUCAAAAUGUUCAGGAGUGCUUAAAAUGGACUAGUGUAGGGCUUGUUGUUUUCUUCCAAGUAGGAGUAGCAAGUGGAGCAGCAGUACUGUAGGACUUGAUGUCAUAGAGUAACAUGUUACUGUGAGUGAGUUUAUAAUUGUACCCACUUGCAGCAACUUGCUGGUCCUUAUGUUUUCUGUAGCUUGUGCUUGCAGUAAUUAUAAUUAAAAUUAUAGCGCAUGAAGCUUCAGUAUUUUAGCACAUGAAGCUCUUGGAGUAGGACUUGGUGGUAUGAGCAAUUUGGAGUAAUUUGGUUGCUCAAGCCCAAUUAAUCUCCAACCUACUCCACUAAUUUCAGUCAGCUUACCAUCCAUUAGUUCCAACCAUGAAAUGUUUGCUUGGCCUUAUGAGCAGGGGAAGUGUAACUGAAGAUGAGUACUCACACCUUGGCUGCUGAUAAAGGCGAUGGCGAAGCGGUUCUGGGAUCAUCGGCGCUGAGAGAGGAUUGUACCCAGGGGCUCAUUAAAGUCUACGUUCCUGUUACAAAGAGGCCUGAAUGCCUACAUGACCAUGAUGUUCUUUGUUGCUGUCAAAGAAAAUCUUUGGUGGGAGCACAUUUGAUCCAUUUAGUGAGCACAUUUUCUAGGAGUAGAAAUCAGUGUUAACUGACAAAUGUUCAGUAAAUGGAUGCUAUCAAAGAUUUUAUUUACUGCUGCCAUAUUAGUGUUAGCGGUAUAUGCUCUAUGUAAACUAUAUUUAGAGAUUCAGUGAUGGGUUGAUUUACAAAUACUGAAGAUUUGGAGUAGAUGGGAUAAGCUUGCCAACAACUACUCAAUUUGCUUGGAGUAGGCCUAUUUUGCUUGCAAUAAGUUGGACUACAGCAAGUGAGUAGUGCUCAGUACUGUUAAGUUAGAGUAGUCAUGUUUAGUUCAGUACUGUUGAGUUAAGAGUAGUCAGCAAGUGUUGCUUAGGACUACACUGAACAUGUUGCACCUAACUGACCAUAUUCAAAGCAAGUUAAAAAUGAAAAGCAAGUUAAUGUCAAGUUAACUGAGCAUUUUGACAAUAAGCGUUCAUUUAAGUUAACAGUAAAUCAAGUUUUCUUUUUUGCGCGCGGGGGGGCAGUAAAUCAAGUUAAUGUCAAGUUACUUUGUCAACUCGUUCCUGUUCACAGUGGUGAAAUUUUGUCAAUAUGCUUGUUACUUUGUCAAAAUGCUUGUUACUGACCAUUUACUCUUGUCAAAAUGCUUGUUCCAGUGUAUUGACCAUUUAAUCUACUGACCAUUUAUAUCAUGUAUGGAGAAGUUCAUUUUGCUGUGUACUGAUGGAGAAGUUCAUUUUGCUGUGUACUGAAAGCACUCACAAUGCUUGUUCCAGUAUAAAUAAUGUUUAGUUAAAACUGAAUUAAUCUUUUCGGUACAACUAAAUGAUCCACUGUUCUUCUGAACAAUGACAUGCUUUGUAUAAAUACUGUUUAGUGCAUAUUACUCCGGUACUCAUCAGUGCAUUUUACAAUGAUAUACAGAUCGAGUGUAGUCAUUUGGUACUUCCCUUUGAAGUUGUAGCCCCUGUAGUAAUGUCAAAAUGAUGCUUAUCUACUCAUGUCAAUUAAGUGAUGGAACUACAAGUACUCCAUUAAGUGAUGUAACAUCAUCAUGUACUGGCACCAUUUUUGCCUUGCUUGUUACUCCAUGCUGGUCCCAUGUCAAUUAAGUGAUGGAACUACAAGUACUCCGUUCCAUAAUUUUUAUCGUGGUUUUAGUUCAAAUGGAACAGAGGGAUUAAUUGGCAGUGCCAAAUGCAGAAGCAUUUGGUUCUCUAACAUCGAACAUGGGUUUAGACUGAAUUUGACAAGGAACAUGGGUUUAGGCAAAUUUGGAUGCCUGAUGGAAAAUGUGGGCUGCAGCCUGCACACUGGACCUGUUAACUCCUGAAUUUCAGUGCACUUGCUACUUUUAUUUGUUUGCUUUCAAAUUCUAGUGAUUCCUCAAAUUCUGCUGUAAAUUACUGCUGUUGUCGCGCUGUUUAACUGAUUCCUCAAAUUCUGCUGUAAAUUUCAGUGUACGGGCGAGGAGUACCUGCCUGGAGUGUUGUUUGCGGCGAGGACCAGGCUGGGCAGCGCGGCGACCAAGCUGGCGUUGAGAGGACCAGGCUGGUGCGGCGAGGACCAAAUUGGGAGCGGCGGAGGCGGCGGCCAGGCUGGGGCGGCGGCGAUCAAAUUGGGAGCGGCGGCGACCAAACUGGGCAAGGACGACGGGGAAGAGACUGGCGAAGGGGCCUGCUGGUGGAUGGACUAGUAGCUGGAGGAGGUGGAGGGCGGAGGAGGUGGCUGGCCUGGCGGAGGAAGACGACGACUCUCAGCGACAACUCUCGUUUUCAAAUCAGGGGUAUUUUUGUACUUUUGUUCAUUUUCACCUUGUCGGAAAUUUCUCCCAGCUACAACUAUUUCGGUACAGAGGGAGUAAUUUGCAUGUUGGUUUGUGUGCUUCAGCAAUCACGAUACUACUUUGUGAUAUGAUUAGUGAGAGGUAUUUUGCAUGGUUC